rnacentral:rRNA from 1 species
CUCUGUGACUCCUACGGGAGGCAGCAGUGGGGAAUAUUGCACAAUGGGCGCAAGCCUGAUGCAGCAACGCCGUGUGAGUGAAGAAGGUUUUCGGAUCGUAAAACUCUUGUCCUAAGGGAAGAAACAAAUGACGGUACCUUAGGAGGAAGCCCCGGCUAACUACGUGCCAGCAGCCGCGGUAAUACGUAGGGGGCAAGCGUUAUCCGGAAUCACUGGGCGUAAAGGGUGCGUAGGCGGCUUAGCAAGCCAGGGGUGAAAGGCAUUGGCUCAACCAAUGUAAGCCUUUGGAACUGUUAAGCUUGAGUGCAGGAGAGGUAAGUGGAAUUCCUAGUGUAGAGGUGAAAUUCGUAGAUAUUAGGAGGAACACCAGUGGCGAAGGCGACUUACUGGACUGUAACUGACGCUGAUGCACGAAAGCGUGGGGAGCAAACAGGAUUAGAUACCCUGGUAG